rnacentral:rRNA from 1 species
UACGGAGGAUGCAAGCGUUAUCCGGAAUGAUUGGGCGUAAAGCGUCCGCAGGCGGCAAUGUAAGUCUGCUGUUAAAGAGUCUAGCUCAACUAGAUAAAAGCAGUGGAAACUACAUAGCUAGAGUACGUUCGGGGCAGAGGGAAUUCCUGGUGUAGCGGUGAAAUGCGUAGAUAUCGCUUGGAACGCCAAUGGUGAAAGCAGCUCGCUGGGAAUGAUCUGACACUGAGACGCGAAAGCCAGGGGAGCGAACGGG